rnacentral:lncRNA from 1 species
GUUGUUUUAGUACAGUUUUAAAAGCACAUCAAUGAUCGUGGUUUGAAAUCUAACAGAUUUAACUUCUGAUUUACCAGAGAAACUUUCAUAUGCUAUCUGCCUACAAAUUCAGAUGGGAGGGGUGGGUGGAGUAAGGGUUCUGAGGGAGAGGGGAAAUGAUUAUCAGAAACAAUAUAAUUGACUCUUAGAGAAUGAAUCUCAUUAAAGUAUGUACCAAUAAGGAUUCUUGGUUGCAGACAACAAAAAACCAAUUAGGAUUAACUUAGGCAGGAAAACAGUUUAUUGGAAGAAUAUUAGAUAUAUCGCUCACAGAAUUGAUGGAAAGGCUGGAGAACCAGCUUUGGAAAACAGAAACCAAAGGAAGCUAGAUGACCAAAACCGUAGCCAACUUCCAGCCUCAGGGAGAGCUGCGAGUUUGUUUACUUCUGUGGGCGGUGAGGCCUCUGAAAACCGGAUUCCAAACACCCUGCUUGUUUGCAUCACUAGUUCCAGAUUCAGAGACUGGUGGGAAUGUCCAACUGACCAAGCUUAUUUCGUCUUGCGCCAGCACUUGGGCUGUCAAGCAUCAAAGACAGCAAGGAUAUGUGACCUUAGCUUCCACAGUAGAAGAUGGGAACAUUUCUCCUACCAAGAUUCACCAAACAUAUGAAACGGGUUUGAUGACUGAGCACCAAAUACAAAACAUAUCAGAGGUCUGCUGUAGUCCAUCUUGCCUCCGUAUGGUUGCAAGAGUCUGCUUAAUUUGUACAACUCAACAUGUUAUUUCGAGGAGGUAUUCCAGGAGAUGAGAUGCCCCUGUCAGACUCCUCUCCCUACUCCUUUUUCCCCAUGGUCAUCAGGGCCAGUCACUCCAGCUGCACCAUAACCACUUUUCUAACUCCUCACCUAGGGGAAGGAGCUAAAAAUGAGCAGGAGGCAAUUCCAGCUUCCAGUACAGAGGAAACAUUGUAUCCCCUUGCACACUCUGGGUACAAAAAUUGGUAUACCAACAGAACCUGGAGUUGUGCAGAUGGACGGCAAGAGCAGUGAAGGGUCUGAGAUUUUAUCCUACUUGCAGCUUGCUUGCUGCAGUGUCGUGGAUGCUGGCAAGAGACCGGAGACUCCUGGGUAAGACACAAAAAUCUUUUUAUUACAGCAAAGCAGUAGCCCAAGCGUCGCAUGUUUGCACCGGUUCCUGGAGCCCCAGUUUCCACAGGGCUGUGGUGGGCCAGAUGACACCCAUACACACAUCGGGUUGAGCGCAGGAGGAGAAUCCAGGGCCACGCAGUUGUUGAGCAAGUAGCAAACAAGCCAGUCUCUCCCCUAGGGCAGCGGCAGUGAAAUGGUAGUAAUGCUCUGGCCGCCUGGACCCACGUAGGUGCCUGUGUUACUAGCUUCGGAAACUGUUGUGUCAGGAGAUGGAUAAGCCUCGCAGCUGGCAUGCUCGGCAAUAAUAUGCAGGGUGCUCAGGACCCACGGCAGAGUCUCUCCCCACAGUGGAAAGCAAAAUAUACGGGCACUGAGUCAGAUGCAACAGCAUAGCGUCAAUCCCUCUACUCUUGGACUUUGUCACUGUGUCAACAAAAGAGAUAUCACUAAAUACUGUUAACUCAUUUGGAGCAUAUGCCGAAUCCUUUACGACAGCAUCCCAAAGUGUGUGUCUCAUCUGGUUCCAGAAGGCAGCCUUCAAUAGGGCUGUCCAUUAUUCUGUAAACCCAGUUGCUUCUGCUGCGAUGGCAUCAGUACCCUUCUUUACCUCUUUCACGGGAAAGUGAGUUCCUGGGUGAGAAGCAAUGUCGUCUGGGAUGCUGUAUAAGCUGUGUGGAGUAUAAGGUAUUCAGUAGGUCCACAGAUGGACUGGAUGAAAGAUCCGUAAGUUGGGGAAAGCAGUCCAAACCCAGAACAAUCGUCUAGUCCUAGAGAAGUAGCUGGCUCCUUCAUUAUCGCAGGCUUCCACUGUAAUCAGACCUGCCACCCAGGCUGUAUAAUCCUGUAUCGGGAACAGGGUGGUCACUGCAAGUGCUAUGCUGGGCGGUCAGUCUCGGCAGGGGAAGAACUGUUAGGAAUACACGCAUGUCUCCAUGCCACGUGCCCCCUCAUUAGUGGGCCCACUGAGCGAGCACAGCAGUGGUGGGGGAGGCGCCUGGCUGAUGUCUCCAGGGGCUCAUUGUGGUAGGCACCCCCACUGCUGGCCUUCAUCCCUGCUGUAAUCCCCUCCCUUUGAGAGUGGCUGGACCUACCCAUGCACUUCUGUCAGAACACAGCAAACGUGAUGGGGUCACAUGGGAGAUGAGGUGGCUUCCAUCCCGAGCACUCUGGUUCUCUCGUCCGUUCACUCCGUGGAAGACCAGCCGCCACGCUGUGAGAGCACCUCUGGAGAAGCCCCGAAGCAAGGGACUGAGGAGCUGAGAGCCCAGAGGAGGGAAGUCCUGCCAGCAGUCCUGGGAGUGGGCCUGGAGGCAGAUCCCCCUGCGGAGCCUGUGCAGGAGACAGAACCCCAGCCAACAGCCUGACUGCAGCCUCCUUUAAGACCUGCAGCCCCAGGCACUGGCUCCUGCACUGCCCACCCACAAACACUGUGAGAGAAUAAACGUUUAUUGUGUAAGCCACAACAUUUUGGUAUGUUAGGCAACAGUGGAUCACCAGCACAGUCACAGGCAACAGUGGAUCACUAGCACGGUCACAGUCAGGCGACAAUGGAUCACUAGCACAGUGACAGGCAGGUGACAGUGGAUCACCAGCACCGUCACAGGCAGGCGACAGUGGAUCACCAGCACCGUCACAGGCAGGCGACAGUGGAUCACCAGCACCGUCACAGGCAGGCGACAGUGGAUCACCAGCACCGUCACAGGCAGGCGACAGUGGAUCACUAGCACGGUCACAGGCAAGCAACAGUGGAUCACCAGCACAGUCACAGGCAACAGUGGAUCACUAGCACGGUCACAGUCAGGCGACAAUGGAUCACUAACACAGUCACAGGCAGGUGACAGUGGAUCACCAGCACAGUCACAGGCAGGCACAGUGGAUCACCAGCACAGUCAGGCAAGCAACAGUGGAUCACUAGCACGGUCACAGGCAAGCAAAAGUGGAUCACUAGCACGGUCACAGGCAACAGUGGCUCACCAGCACCGUCAUAGGCAGGUGACAGUAGAUCACCAGCACCGUCACAGGCAGGAGACAGUGGAUCACUAGCACAGUCAUCGUGUCCUGGUUAAGAGCCCUUCUGCGACGGGAGCCAGACGUGCGUAUGCUUUGGGGCCACUUCCAGAGGUCCUGCCCCGAAGCGCUCUCCAAACUCUGUCCAUCGGCCGACCGCGUUGACGCCGCCCGCCGCCUCAGCCCGCCCUCCAGGCCGAGCGCUCAAGACAGAGCCAGAGCCAGUGCCAGAGCCAGCCCCGCCUCCGGAGGACGUGCCCCUCGGUCCCCGAGGCCCCGCGCCAUGGGGCCCCGACGCCGCAGCAGCCGUGGGUCAGUGUGGGCAGCAGGCCGCCUCCGCGCACCCGCCACGCUGCAGCCGAGAGCCAGCCACGGGGGAGAGCGCGGCGCGCGCACCACCGCUGCAGCGAAAGGACGCCGGCGCGGAGGGCCGGCCCUUGGGGCGCCACCCGGUCGACAGGACCCCUACGUGACAGGACCCUCAAGUGACAGGACCCUCAAGUCAUAGGACCCCCCACGGUGACAGGACCCUCACGGUGACAGGACCCCCCCCACGGUGACAGGAACGCCCCCGGAUGACAUGACGCCCGAUCUCCUCAGGUGUCCCCGCACCGCAGCGCCGCUGGACUCGAGGCGGCUCCCUCAGGGCGGCCGCACCAGAGCGCAGCGCUCCCCUCUUCUCCGAGAAGUGCCACUGCGGGUCCUCGGCUCCGAGUCGGAACCCGGACACGACACGGGGACACUGAGAUGCUCCGAGACGGGGAACCGGGGAAAGAGCACGCCCACCCUCGCCAGAGGCUCUGCGGGGCCCCGCUGCGCGCGCCCUGAGCGGCCCCCUGGCCCGCGCUGAGGGGAGCGCACCCAGCCAGGACUCGCGGCCCCUGGCAGCGCGGCGCGCUCUCCCGGACCAGCCAGAGCCGCGCCCUCCUCCUUUCCCACAGCCGGCCCCACCCACGCGCAGGCCCCGCCCACACACGGCCCCGUCCCGCCUCAGAGGCCAGGCCCAAGCACAGGCCCCGCCCCCGUCACGGAGGCCCCGCCUCAAGGAAAGCCCGCCCCUCCUGUGGCGCGGGCCCGGGAUACCCUUCCGGGCUGGACAGUGCACAGUGCGCGUGCGUCGGCGCCAUGGCCUCAGUUGGGUUGUCCCGGUUACUCGGCUGCGUCCCGGCCGCGGCGUGGAGAGCGGCAAGAUCACCCCUUCUGUGUCAUUCUUUGAGGAAAACGAGUUCUUCUCAAGGAGGAAAGUCUGAACCUGUCAAGCAAUCCCUUAAGAAGCCCAAGUUACCAGAAGGUCGUUUUGAUGCACCAGAAGAUUCCCAUUUAGAGAAAGAACCACUGACAAAAUUUCCAGAUGAUGUUAAUCCUGUUACCAAAGAAAAAGGUGGACCCAGGGGCCCGGAACCUACCCGCUAUGGAGAUUGGGAACGAAAAGGACGCUGCAUUGAUUUUUAAGCCAUGUAUUCUUUACCUUCACUAUCUGUUUCUGAAUAUGCACAUCUGAAUUAACUGAUUACUUUAUUUUUGUAUAUCCUUUAAGUCAUCUAAUUUCUAUAAUGUGUUUAAAAAUAUAUAUGAUGGCUUUGGAAGAAAAUAUGCUGCUAUAAAUUAGGAAAGGGAAAAUAUACAUUAGCACAUUAAUUUAAAUGUAUUGAGGUAUAUAAGUGAUGAGAAAAGCAAACUUUUCCUUCAUAUUUCAGUUAAAUCAGUUGCUUAUAAAAUGCAAAUGUGAAUAAAAUAAGUUUUUUAUUGAUUGCAUUGCCAUGUGCUAGGUAAUAGUGGCUUUUUAAAUGCGGAUUGAGUGGUGCAUUAUAGUUUGAGGAGACGACAGUAACAUCAGAAAGUCUUUAACUUGGAGCCAGAUGACUUGCGUCCAAAUCCUGGCUGUACUGCUUACUAGCUGUGUUACCUUGGAUAGGUUAUUUAUCUUCUCUGUUCUUCACUAUCUUUAUGUGUAAAUUGGAGAUGAUGCUCAUUCCACCUGAUAGGGCAGUUGAGACGAUUAAAUGAGUAAAUACCUGUGAACCGCUUGGAGCAGUGCAUAGCACAUACUUCUCAGUAAGUGGUAGCUAGCUUUAAACCAUAAAUGUAUUUAUCCAAGUCUCCACACUUCCUGGGGGAAAAGAUUAAGAAACUGAAAUUUGAAAUACUAAAAUUGAAAUUGUCUUAUAUGAAUAUAAUGUUAAAAAUCUUUAGUUGGAAAGUUAGUGAUUAUAUGCAUGAGUGAACUGAGGUGAAAUAGACAUUAGUUUGUGAAACAUGAAAUUCAGGUACAGAGGGCAAAUAGGAGAAAAGCAGCGAUGGAAUGGACCAGCUCAGUCAGUUUUGAUUGACUCAGAAGCUCCUACCGUGUGUCCUUCGGACAACUGGGUCAGAAAAAGUCAAGUCCAGUUGACAGAUGUGGAAUGAAGGAAGGAUGGAAACUACUGGGCUCCCCAAGGCGUCUUUCGCUGUCCUGUGGCCUCAGUCACAAAGACCGAGCCUUCAGCCCCCAGGACACUAAAAUUACUUAGAGAGGGUUUGCAAAGCCCGUAGAAGAAAGAAUGCAGUGGGCUGAUACUAUGUGAUGUGAACUGUAGGUGCAGUAUUAUUUGAGAAGAUUGUACGGAGACUUAUUUAAGAGAAGAAGCUUUUUAAAAAAGUGUAUUUUCCCCAGAUACACACAAAAGAGUAUGGUAAUUGGGACUAGUCAUUCAGUCUUGAUCCCAGUUGUCUCUCAGUCAACAUGUGUUCUUUUAAUUGCAGUUACUGUGUGUGCUGCUAAGUAAUAACCACAUUCCUUUAGAAAUACUCUAUAAUUUAGUCAGCCUUCAAUUGCCCAAAUUAUUGAAGAUUUUUAGUAAGUUAACAGUCCAGAAAUAUUGUGUUAUUUUGUACUGUAUAGCUUUGCUUGUGUUCCACAUUGAUCAUCAUGAUAUGUGAUAAGGACAACUUACAUAUUUCAGAAGCUAACAUAAAAUAUAUAAUAACUGAAGUGUUGUGUUAAGAUAAUAGAAUCUUUAACCUCUGUCAAUAGUAACGUGAUUCAUGACAGCUAUCAAAUAUAUAGGUAAAAGUUGGUGGAAUGAAAACAUACUUGGUCUUAUGUCCAUCAAAACCCUGAAGACUUAGAAAAGAUGAUACGGCAGCAAUGGAACGCGUAACUCAGAUCUGCAGGAAGUAGAGUUGACGGAGACGCAGCUGCUGCCCCGUGGGAUCCACCACCAUGUUCCUGCCGAGGCCACACUUCCCCAGGCUGUUCCUAGCCAAUGAGUGGGUAUGACGGGGCUGCAGUGAAGCAGUCUGAUGGCCCACUCCCCUGCUGGACGACCUUGGCUCAAGGACUCCUCAUUAGCCUGCCCGGAGUUUUCUUAGGACUGUGCUGCUGUCCGAGGCUCUUCCUGCCCAGUCCUCCUCUCCUUCCCUCUCCCUUCACAGGGGUCAGGCUCUGCCUGCUCCUCCCCUCUGGGAUUCACAAAUGUCUCCCCAGUCCUCCUCUCCUUCCCUCUCCCUUCACAGGGGUCAGGCUCUGCCUGCUCCUCCCCUCUGGGAUUCACAAAUGUCUCCCCAGUCCUCCUCUCCUUCCCUCUCCCUUCACAGGGGUCAGGCUCUGCCUGCUCCUCCCCUCUGGGAUUCACAAAUGUCUCCCCAGUCCUCCUCUCCUUCCCUCUCCCUUCACAGGGGUCAGGCUCUGCCUGCUCCUCCCCUCUGGGAUUCACAAAUGUCUCCCCAGUCCUCCUCUCCUUCCCUCUCCCUUCACAGGGGUCAGGCUCUGCCUGCUCCUCCCCUCUGUAGUUCACAGAUGUCUCCCCAGUAAAUCUUUUCUACAUUUAAUCCCAUCUUAGCAUUUGUUUCUCAGAACUGAAACUAAUAUGGAUAGUUUUAAAAAGAACAACUUAUAGAUAAAUUGUCAGAAAAUGUCACACAAAACUUGUGGGUUUUUCUAGUGUAAUCAUAGUUUAAAUAGUUUAAUUUUCCAUUGCUUGGGGAUUUCUGGGAAAUUAUAGGUUGAGCUUUUAUGUACAAGGCUCGCACCAUGGAACCUUGUUCAUAUUAGGCAUUUUGCUGGAAUUGAAUUAUGCUCAGCAUUUUUUCCUUGCUUUGGUGUCAGUUGCUAUGACCUACCAUGAGUCAAAAUAUAACAUUACAUAUUAUUAAACUUGUAAGAACAAACCUAAGCCACGUUCUGCUAGUAAAUAACACAUGUUCUUUCGAUGAAUAGAAUGGUUUAUAAUGAACAGACUUGGUAAUAGUAAUAAUUAAUGAUAUAUCAGCAAUUUUAAAGAUAAUUUCAGAACAGAACAGUAGUUUUUAUAAGUAUAGGAUAAGAAUGGCUGCAGGCUGUUAGUCAGCCAACACUUAUUGAUCAGUUAGAAGGAAAGUAAAAUGAAGAGCGCCUGGCAGGUUUGUUCAUGCAUUCAGUUGAUUCUUUCAUUUAAUCAGUGAUUAUUUGUCUGCUACGUGCCAGGUGUUCUGCUAGGCUUUGGGUGUUUGGUGUUGGAUUAAAGCAAACCCUUGCCAUCCUGGCAUAAAGUCUGGUGGGUUUGAUUUGCACGUGAGAACAGUUCCAAAGGACAGCCGACUGAAGCCUAAAUGCAUUGCAAGGGACUGUCCUUUGCCUCAACCAACCAAAGGGGCCUUCCUAAGUUUGAUGAGACUGUCACUUUCUGGGUUUUUGAUACUAGAGGACUCUUCAGAGACCUGUGUUUUCACCUUUUUAAAUCUAAACUGACCUUGUGUGGGCCAGGCCCAGUGGCCUAGUGGUUAAGGUCAGUGUCCUCCACUUUGGUGGCCCAGGUUCAGUUCCCAGGUGUGGACCUACACCACUCACCUAUCAGUGACCAUGCUGUGGUGGCGAGCCACAUACGAAAUAGAGGAAGACUGGCAACAGGUGGUAGCUCAGGGUGAAUCUUUCUCAGCAGAAAAUAAACUGACUCUGAGAUAUUUAUUAAUCAAGUUAAAUACUCAUUCUGUGAUCAUACGUGUUCUGACCUUGCCAUAGAUCAGCCUCCCUAGACAUUGACUAAGAAGAUGUGGAGUAAGCAGAGUGAUAUAAUUAAGGUUGCUCAAGCCAUUCCUGGCCCGAGAAGAACAUUUUUGGUGCAUCCCUCUGCACGAACACUGGAGCUAAAGCUGCCCCUGAUUUGCCUGAGCCGGGCCUGGCUGCUAUGAAUGAAUUAUAAAGUCUUAGCAGGUGGAAUCUUGUCUGAGGCCUUGAAACCGCCAGUACUCCUGAUUAGCUGUUGCUGGUGAGAAGGAAUUGUGGACAGAUUCAGGAGAGAGGUUGGUGGUGGCGGAGUGUGAGAAGGAGGUGGAGAACGAGCUUUCAGAAGGAACUGAGUAGAGAAUACUGGAGCCGAAAAGUACGCACAAGGAGACAGGAGUGUCU